rnacentral:tmRNA from 1 species
GGGGGUGACAGGCUUCGACCCAGGUAAGCGAAACAGAAGCGGCAUGUAGAGGUUGCUAGGAGGCCUCUUUAAACACCUGGCAAAAAUCAAAUGCUGACAACGUAAAUGUGCCAGCAACGGUGAAUGAGCUUCUGAAUACCAUGAAAGUGGUACCAGGGCCCGUUCUACCGGUAGCGUUACCUUUAUAAGGUAACCCGCUAACCAACCCAUCCUGUGGGGUUGGAUUGGCGUCGAUAGCAGGAUAGUCUGACUUGUUUAGCCUUUGGCGGGUCAGGUGAAAUUUACAAAGGAUACCCUUUUGAAAUUCCUCCUAUUGAAGUUCAUAAGGGGAAAUUAAAGAUUAGGAUAAACAUGUAGAGGCUUUUGUAUUGAUAUCUGGGGACGCGAGUUCGAAUCUCGCCACCUCCACCA